AAAAAUGUAAUUGUAAUGUAUACAUGUAAGGAUAACUUGAUCCCCUUGCUGUACAGUGGGAAAAUAAAAAAAUAAAAAGAAAAGGCAGGAUUUUGGAGGAAAAGCGCUUACAACUUGAUGGAUCAGAUUGGGGUUUGGGUAAAGGAAGAGACUGCAGCAUUGCUCCUAGUUUGGGGGUUUCGUAACUGGAUUGGUACUGGCGCCAUGUGCUGAGCUAUGGAGGCUUAAGGGAGAGUGGGUUUGGUAGGGAGGGGCAAGGGAUGCUGUGGGGAAGCACCAUUCUGUUCUAGCCCGGCGAAGGGGUAAGUAGUUAGGUUCACAUUCUGAGUAGGAAGUUAGGCUCAUGAGCCUAGGACUCAGGGAAGUUAUCAGGUUUAGAAAUGCAAACUUGUAGACCUUGCUGUAUCUGUGGCAGAAGACUGCAUACAAUUGCCUAAGAAAGAGUGUGGCUAACAAGAUAAGGCGUCUGGGAACAGAACCCUGGGCGUUCCAAAAAUUAAGGAUCUAUCAGAGUGGUAUGAAACAGCAUAAAAAGCUGAAAGGAUGGAAGAAAGUAAAGUGGGGACACAUUCUUCCUGUCCAGCCCCAACCUCAGCUGCUUCAGUUCAGCCUGUCCUUUCUAGUUUUGAAUCCUGAUAAAGUGAUGGACUCCACAACCUUAAAAACUUGAAAAAAGAAAAGUUUGGAAAGAAGACUCUAUCAUACUGUUCUGAAGGAUUCACAUGGGUGCUCAAUUCUCUACCAAGUUGUUGUGGCUGGACUUCAAAGUGACCCCUCAGCCUUCACCUGCCCGUUGACCUAUGGCUCGGAGUCAUUGUUCCUACUCACUGCCCUGAGGUUUUAAAAAGACUGUGCAGACAAAGCUCUGGACACAUGAUGGGCUGUUUAAGAGGACACGCUCCCUCCAAGUUGGAGGUGUGUCUUUGACCCUUUAAAGAUGGUCCAGAGUCACUAAGACAAUGUGUCAGAGAAUUAGGAUGCUUCCAUGCUCUGGGUUGAAUUCUGCUUCACCUACGAAUCCUGCUUUUCUUUUGAGAAAAAAAAAAAUGGCACGAAGUGGAAAAGGGGUUCUAUUGGUUAACCUGACAUGGGAUGACUUCAGGCACUGGGAUCCCCCAGGACUGCUUUGGUGCCAAGUCUGUGUAGCCUGCAGCAGGUGGAAGAAGGCCUCCCUGGUCUGGGAUUUAUGGUGUAUCAAGGGUCUUAGAACAGCUGCGCUUGGCUCCCAUUAGGAACUUGUCCAACAGGUAUGCUUUUAUUCUUGGGAAACACAAGCGUUGAAAGAUACAGAAGCAAAAAGAGAAUAAUUUAACAACCAUCUGCAUACUUGCCAUGUGUAAUGAACAGGUAUUAAUGUUUAUUGAUAUUUGCUUCAUACAUUGCUGUUAAUACAAUAAUAUCACUGUCAAGUUGGAGCUGCCUCUUAGUCCUAUUCCAGAUCACCCCCUCCUGCCCAAGAGACAACUCUUUGGAUGAAUUUCAUGUAUAACAUACUGGUCAAAUAUGCGUACUUUGAAUUGAAUCCAUAAACCAUAUGCUGAAGUUUUGAACAUUUUAUACAAAUAUUAUCAUACACUAUUCAUCUUUCUGUAAUUAGCUUCAAUUUCAUUCAACACGAAGUUUCGUUUUAAAGGUCUGUGUUGAUGCCUUUAAAUCUAGUGCAUUUGUUUAAAUUGCUGAAUUGUAGUCCACUGAUGGAUGCUUAAGUUGGGUUUUUAGAUUUUAUCUACAACAUCUGUUUUGCAAGGAUCCAGGCAUCACAUCCUUUACAGAAGGCUGUGCAGAUUCAGAUUUAGGGAUAGAUAAACCAACAGGUGUUUCUGAGACAUCCAUGAGUCUCUCUGGAUGAAGGCUAUUUAUUUAUGUAUUUAUCCUUUCUAAGUUCAAUUUACCAUUCCAGACACUUUUUAUCCCCCUAGGAUGAAUCCUUAUUUUACUCAUAGUGUUGUAUUUUGACUUUGAUAAGACCUUGGAACACUCCCUUAAUAUUUUCAUAUAUGUCUGAACCCCAGGGAAUAAUAUAGAUGCAGAUUUCCAUGGUCUGUCCCUUCAAUUAACAAAACAUGUUCGCAAAUGCCAAAAAUGAGCAGCAGAGUUGAGCAGAAUAUCCAAGUUCACUAAUAAACCUUCAGAACUGCUACUCUUCUUCA
rnacentral:lncRNA from 1 species